GACGAACGCUGGCGGCGUGCUUAACACAUGCAAGUCGAACGGAGUGGCGAACGGGUGAGUAACACGUGGGUGACCUGCCCUGCACUUCGGGAUAAGCCUGGGAAACUGGGUCUAAUACCGGAUAGUGUGGGGUGGGGCCGCGGACUAUCAGCUGGUUGGUGGGGUAAUGGGCUACCAAGGCGGCGGCGGGUAGCCGGCCUGAGAGGGUGGACGGCCACAUUGGGACUGAGACACAGCCCAGACUCCUACGGGAGGCAGCAGUGGGGAAUAAUGCACGAUGGGGGAAGCCAUGAUGCAGGAACGCCGCGUGCGGGAUGACGGACUUCGGGUUGUAAGCCGCUUGCAGCCAUGACGCGGUACUUAACCAGAAAGGGACGGCUAACUACGUGCCAGCAGCCGCGGUAAUUC
rnacentral:rRNA from 1 species